GCAAAAAAAAGUAUUUAUUAAAAUAAGAUAAAAGAGUAAAACAGUUUAAGGCACAUUAAUGUAUCUGAAUGUUAAAACUGAGUUAUCAACUUCCAUCAUGUCUCUGAUCAUUAUUAUUUCAUCCAUUCAUUCAUAUUAAAUAAUUAUCAACUGAUUUCAAAGAUCAUCACUUUGGUAUAGUU